UACGUAGGGUGCGAGCGUUAAUCGGAAUUACUGGGCGUAAAGUGUGCGCAGGUGGCCGCGCAAGUCGAGUGUGAAAUCCCCGGGCUUAACUUGGGAACUGCGUCCGAUACUGGAAGGCUCGAGUGCGGGAGAGGGAUGUGGAAUUCCAGGUGUAGCGGUGAAAUGCGUAGAUAUCUGGAGGAACACCGGUGGCGAAGGCGGCAUCCUGGACCGACACUGACGCUGAGGCGCGAAAGCCAGGGGAGCAAACGGG
rnacentral:rRNA from 1 species